GGACCUGCAUUGAACAUGGGUGUCCUGACUCAGCUCUCCUGCCUUCUGUUCCUCUGGCUCCCAGCUGCCAGCGGGAGCGCUGAGCUGACCCAGACUCCAGCCAUCCUGUCUGUGUCCCUAAGGGAGAGCAUCUCCAUCACCUGCACGGCCAGUGAGAGCGUCAGUGAUUACGUGAGCUGGUAUCAGCAGAAACCAGGCCAGGCUCCUAGGCUGCUCAUCUACGACACUGAUGACCGUUAUUCUGGUGUCCCAGACAGGUUUGUUGGGCUUCAGUCUGGGACACAAUUCAUUCUCACAAUCAACAAUGUAGAGGCUGAUGACACUGCCAGUUAUUACUGCUUUCAUGAUUACACGGUUCCGGUUACGUUCGGCCAGGGGACCAAGGUGGAACUCAAACGGGCUGAUGCCAAGCCAUCCACCUCCAUCUUCCCACCGGCUAAAGAACAGUUAGAGACCGAAAGUGCCACCAUCGUGUGCAUGGUGAAUAACUUCUACCCCAAAGACAUCAGCGUCAAGUGGAAAGUGGACGGGGUGAGCCAGAGCAGCGGCGUCCAGACGAGCAUCUCAGACCAGGACAGCAAGGACAGCACCUACAGCCUCAGCAGCUACCUGACGCUGUCCAGCUCGGAGUACCACCAGCACAACCUCUACGCCUGCGAGGUCACCCACAAGACCCUGUCCUCCGCCGAGGUCAGGAGCUUCGACCGGAGACACUGCUAAGCGAGAGCCCCGCGGGCUCCGGCACCGGGCUCCUGCCCCAGCCCCCGCCCGCUCCCUCCCUCGGGCCUCCUCGGGCCCUUUCCCCACUGGAGACCCUCCCCUGUGACAAUCCACCAGCCCCUCUCCCCGCCCCUCCCCCUCCCCUCUUUGGCUUUAAUCAUGCUAAUGUUGGAGGGGGUGAAUAAAUAAAGUGAAUCUUUGCACCUGUGA